ensembl:lincRNA
GACUGGAGUCUGCUACUCAUGUCUGAAUAUGGCUAAAGGAGUGACUUGGCUUUUCUAGGCUCCAGUUCUUUAAAUACUAAAUAAGAGCAACAUAGUGGACAACUAGAUAUCCAACCACGUAACUUGGUGACUUGGAAGUUCUUGUGUCUAUGCUUCAUGGAUGGGAAUAGCCCUACGACAGACACAGCAGGAAGGCCUGGGAUGAGUGGAGUGAUCAAACACCAAGGCAGGGACAAGGGAUCUUCAUGAAAGAGGGGACUCCUGCACGUCUCAGUGUUCAAAGCUAGCAUCAUGGCAGAGGAACAUCGGCUUCUUCAUGGUGCUUCCAGCAGGUGAGCCUCUGUGAAUAAUUAUCUAGAUUAACUGAGUUGGGAACACCUAGCCUAAGGAGAAUGGCACCAUUUCCAAGGCUUGAUUGCUGGAUUGCUGGAUUGCUGGAUUGCUGGAUUGCUGGAUUGCUGGAUUGCUGGAUUGCUGGAUUGCUGGAUUGCUGGAUUGCUGAGUUGCUGAAUUGCACAAAAUGGAAGAAACCAUCUCAAGAACAUCAUCAUGGAAUGUUUUCUUUAAGCUGACCAGUUUGCUGGAAUAAUCUACUUAAAGU